rnacentral:lncRNA from 1 species
UAUAGAAUGAAUCAGAGUAAGGUAAGUAGGUAAGGGUUUAUCCAUUUCUAUCUAGGUUUCGUCCUACAGUCAACAUUUCCUCUGAUACCACUUUUGUAACACUCAGGCUUUAAGGAACAAAGUCGGGUGCAUCUCAUACAUGCGCCAAGAAGACAACAUAUACAAUAAAAGAGUGUAUAGAGAUAAAUGUCACAAUAAUAUUAGAGUAUUUAUUACAUAGCGGAAGUCUUAUUACAAAAUAAAAGAUAAAUAUAAAACGAACUAAGGAUCAUCCUUGGCGCAAGUCAACUGGGAAACGCCACCUAGAUCAGAUCAAACUCCUCGCUUUGUGGCUCCUCCUGAACCACAUGUUCUUCUCCUGUGGGGGUGUGAGACAGCAAGGGUGAGCUCACACAUGAUCAUAGCUCAACAAGUUGUGGGGAAAAGAGUGACAUGAACUCACCAAAGGUGGGAGUUCAUGUGAUGUGUAAGGCUAAUCAACAACAGAGGUUAAAGCUGAGCAUUGCUUUUAAUUAGUUGGUCAAAAUUUUAUUAGCAAUUACUAGAUGUAAGUAAAUACCAAAACUCAAUAAAAGUAAUAGAACAAAAUUAAUAAAUAAUCCCAUGCAUAUGCAAAUGACAAAUUGAGUUUAAGUUCCAUAAAUUAAUCAUGUGAGAGUCCUGAGCUGCUCAUGACCAUGAGCUCGGCUAGUAUACCAGUUUUACACUCUGCAGAGGUUGUACCCUAUACCCACAAGUCAUGUUACCCAUCUGCCACGGGGUUGUACGGGCCCCAUACACCUCUACCAAGGAAGCGAGGCAAGGUAACACUACGAGGCCUUUACAAAGUUCCACUAGCUUCCAAAAACCCGCUACAGUUUAUGGGAAGAGCAUUUGCAAGAAUCCCCCGUCUGACCGUCAUCGCAGAAAAAUCAACCCGAGAACAUCCCUACAUGCAACUCCCCUACUGCCCUUGCCCCUUUCGGGUAAGGUAGUCUUCCACUAGCUUUCCUAAUUAGUUAGCCAAGGGCAUCCCAUACUACCCUUGUGGUGGCACAUGUUUCUCAAGUUAAGCUCCAUGUUUCAAUUAACAUUAAUGAUCUUGACAUGAACAUAAAUAGAAUAACAAAAUAACUAGAACAUGGAUAUAAUGAAAGAUUAUCCCAAAACCAUGUAAAGCAAUAGCAAAACUACCCAAGUGAUUCAGGGAUAACAAGGUAAUAUGGAUAAACAAACUACGGUGACCUAUUGGGUCCCAUCAAAAUUAAACCUAUGCAUAAAUAAUGAUCUUAAAGAACAUUAUUGGGUAUAAAAGUGGACAAGGGCACAACUUGCCUUCAAUGAGCUCCUGCUCAGCUACUUCUAUCUGCUGGUCACCAGUAUCCACAGUCACAGGUUCUUCUACUCGCCACAAUACAAACAAGCACAGUGUAUAGAGAAAAUUAACAUCACACCAAACAUGUAAACAAAAUACAUAAUAUUAAUCUACACAUUAAAAUAAAAUCCUAGGAACAAGAAUAAUAAAUUUUGGAGUUAUAGCUUUUAAGUUAUGAAUUUCCAAAGGUUUUAUGUGCUUGAAAUAGGAUUAAGCGAGAAAUUAAUUUCCUUACUGUUUUCAUGUCAAAACAUAGACUCUAAGUGAUAGAGAAUAAUAUUAUAAACUUUUAGAAACUGGAAUGGAGUAAUUUGGACUAAAAAUUGAUUUUCUAUGAAUUAAAUAAGUUCUAGUAGUUCUUUUCAUAUUAAAAAUCCAUUUUCUAAUUCACUUAUUCAAUUUAAAUAGGUUCUUGACUGGGCGCAUUAAAUCUGAGAUAGGCAGGGGCCUCGGUGUAAGACAUCCCAGACACAUAGCAUAGUCGACGAGGACCGCGGGUUCAUUCUCAAAGAAUUCAGGGACCCAUUAGCAACCUUGCUAGAGCGAACCGGUAUCUGGAGACUCAGACCGUCCGAUCCGGAACUAACGCGCUAGAUUAGAUCUAGGACUCACGCGACUCCGUACCCAGCAUCAACCGUCCGAUCGCAAGCCUACGUUCCAGAUUCAAAGUAACCUAAAUCAACCCAUCGCCUCUGUGAUCAGAAUCCUACGGUCUAGAUCCCACAGAGCGAAUCGAUACGCCGUGAUCUAAUCACGACCGCACGCCUACGAUCCAACGGCACGAGGGCCACUCCCCUCUACCCAGCAGAGCCGCGCGGCGACGCUACCCUCCCGCGGUGGCGCCAUCACAGGAGAAGGUGGACUCCGAGCUCUAGUGCCCGAAAUCCAAAUCCACAAGGUUCAACACUAUCCCAGGGCUAGAGUAAAAACGACGCGGGGCUUACUCACCGAAGACGGACGACGGGUGAGAACAAUCGCGGCGCACGGCGGAGACACGACUCCGACGAGAAAUUCACUCCCCACCGUGGACCGGUGCGCCCGACUCCCUCCUGGUGCACGAUCCACACACCCACCCGAUUCUCCGGAAGUGUAUCGCGAGCGCAAGGCGAGGCCAACGAUGCUAAUCGGCUACGGCGGCGCUCGGCGGUGGUUUUUUGGUCGCGGCGAGGGCUGACGAGAUGGGCGAGACAGAGCAACAGGGCGUGGGCAUGAUCUGUAUAGAGUUGCGCAGCAAGGGCCGUCGCUGGUUGACCACAACGGCCACGCGAGCUCCGCUCCCGACGCCGCCGGACUCGGCAAGGUGGUUGGCGUGAGGGAGGUGGCGCCUGACAGCCAGGGCCCACACGCAGCGAGAACAUGAGAUCUGUGACGCGCGCGCGUAGGAGCCUAACGUGCGGGACCCGCGCGUUAGACAUCGCGCGCGAGGUGGGUGCGACUGGCAGGUGGCCCAGUGCGCCGGUGAGAUCCGUCCGUGGCGCGCUCGGUCUGAGAGACUGACGAAGUGGGGUCGUCGUGCCAGUGUCACACGCGAGGCGCGCUGUCGAGCAGUGGUUGGACCGCGGGACGAGAGCGACGUGGGCCGCCUACUGAGAAGAAGUGGGCCGCUCGGGUUGAUCUCGGCCCACAGUAGGUUUUCUCUUUUUAUUUUAUUUCUUUUUCUCUUUUCAUGAUUUGUUUUUCCUUUCUAUUUGAAUUUAAAAUUCAAAUUUAACUAUGUGGUAAAUCUUCCUCAAAUUAAGAGUAUAAUUUUGCACACACUAUUAUUACCUUCAUUUAUAAUAUUUAUUUUGUAUAUAUACUUUUUCUCUUCUUUCUCCACUUCUAAAUUCUAGCGUUUUCUUUUAUAUUCUAAAUUUCCCUUUUGAGAUUUUAAUAUAUUUCUUGUCAUAUUAUUUUUAUAUUAUCACAAAAUGCACACAACAAUAAAAUCCAGCAUGAUACAUAAUUUGGUGGCAUGCAUUUAUUAAUUAUUUGUUUUUAAAUGAAGUGUUCACAUGUGAUGAUAAAUGGAGAAAUCACAUAUAGAUGAAGUGAAAUUGUGUUCCCCUUUUAUAUUAUCUCUUACAAUUUACAAAUUGGAUAUUACACAAAUGCCAGGGUUUUGCUGUAAAUUCUAGGACUUAACCGUGAUGUUCUUCGCAUAGUUAUGGAAGACGGGUUGUUUCCUGAAAACAGCAGGGGCUUUUAAGCAAAAGUGCAUCAAUGAAGGGGGGGGGCUAUUCAAUCCUAACCGUCCGACCCAACGCUGAGGGCCACGAUUAGUUCCCAUCGCAAGGAAACCAGUACCAUGCGUCCACCAUAGGUUCUCCCUUGAACGCCUCGGAUUUUAUGAAGUUUGGCCUAACCCGAGCCACAAGAUCGCGAUCCAACGAUCCCGAUCUAACCGGAAAAGUGUCGCGUCACAAUCAAUCACCGCCGUCCGUUCAUGGACGAACGACCAGGGGACUUUCCCCUGCCUAACAUACACCUCGGGGUAGCGCCGCCUGCGCCAACGAUGGCGAGCCCACCGGAGUACGGCCACCAGGCGCUACAGAGGCCUAUUUUCUACCCCGACUGGUGCUACACGAAGAGAAUGACACAACGAACCAUAUGGGUAGCGACUUACCGGAGUUAGGCGCGGUGAGCACAGCAAUCCACGGCCAAGACGGAACCACGGCGGCCUUCCAUCACCGGCGAGCUAUUCGACAGGUCUUGGUCGAUCACUGUGCCCCGAAACCCCGCCAAUAGGUCCCGCAGGCCUUGGUUUACACCCUCGGCUAUCGCGUGGUCGUGCUCUGUCGACGCGCGAUGAACUAUGGCGGUGGCGGAUCUCUCUCCUCCCCCUAUCUUUUCUAGAAUCGUUUCACGGUAGGGUUCGAGGCAUGAGCGGCGAGGACGGGUCAAUUAUAUGGGCAGGCGGGUCACGCGGCCGUAGCUGCUGAGGUGGUCACAAGCGUCUGCGCGAAUCUCGGAGGGGAGGUUGCGCC